rnacentral:rRNA from 1 species
CUAUUUACAGGCUUAACACAUGCAAGUCGAGGGGCAGCAUGGUCUUAGCUUGCUAAGGCCGAUGGCGACCGGCGCACGGGUGAGUAACGCGUAUCCAACCUGCCUUACACUCUUGGACAGCCUUCUGAAAGGGAGAUUAAUACAAGAUGUUAUCAUGAGUAAGCAUUUUCGCAUGAUUAAAGGUUUACCGGUGUAAGAUGGGGAUGCGUUCCAUUAGAUAGUAGGCGGGGUAACGGCCCACCUAGUCUUCGAUGGAUAGGGGUUCUGAGAGGAAGGUCCCCCACAUUGGAACUGAGACACGGUCCAAACUCCUACGGGAGGCAGCAGUGAGGAAUAUUGGUCAAUGGACGAGAGUCUGAACCAGCCAAGUAGCGUGAAGGAUGAAGGUUCUAUGGAUUGUAAACUUCUUUUAUACGGGAAUAAACGAAUCCACGCGUGGAUUUUUGCAUGUACCGUAUGAAUAAGGAUCGGCUAACUCCGUGCCAGCAGCCGCGGUAAUACGGAGGAUCCGAGCGUUAUCCGGAUUUAUUGGGUUUAAAGGGAGCGUAGAUGGGUUGUUAAGUCAGUUGUGAAAGUUUGCGGCUCAACCGUAAAAUUGCAAUUGAUACUGGCAGUCUUGAGUACAGUUGAGGUAGGCGGAAUUCGUGGUGUAGCGGUGAAAUGCUUAGAUAUCACGAAGAACUCCGAUUGCGAAGGCAGCUUACUAACCUGUAACUGACAUUGAUGCUCGAAAGUGUGGGUAUCAAACAGGAUUAGAUACCCUGGUAGUCCACACGGUAAACGAUGAAUACUCGCUGUAGGCGAUAUACAGUCUGCGGCCAAGCGAAAGCAUUAAGUAUUCCACCUGGGGAGUACGCCGGCAACGGUGAAACUCAAAGGAAUUGACGGGGGCCCGCACAAGCGGAGGAACAUGUGGUUUAAUUCGAUGAUACGCGAGGAACCUUACCCGGGCUUAAAUUGCAACCGAAUAUGGCGGAAACGCUAUAGCUAGCAAUAGCGGUUGUGAAGGUGCUGCAUGGUUGUCGUCAGCUCGUGCCGUGAGGUGUCGGCUUAAGUGCCAUAACGAGCGCAACCCUUGCCGAUAGUUACUAACAGGUUAUGCUGAGGACUCUGUCGGGACUGCCAUCGUAAGAUGUGAGGAAGGUGGGGAUGACGUCAAAUCAGCACGGCCCUUACGUCCGGGGCUACACACGUGUUACAAUGGGGGGUACAGAGGGCUGCUACCACGCAAGUGGAUGCCAAUCCCAAAAACCUCUCUCAGUUCGGAUUGAAGUCUGCAACCCGACUUCAUGAAGCUGGAUUCGCUAGUAAUCGCGCAUCAGCCACGGCGCGGUGAAUACGUUCCCGGGCCUUGUACACACCGCCCGUCAAGCCAUGGGAGCCGGGGGUACCUGAAGUGCGUAACCGCAAGGAGCGCCCUAGGGUAAAACUGGUGACUG